GUGCAUUGUGUGUGAGGACGGGCGGGUCAAGGGCCACCGAGUGCUUUUUUUUAUAGUCCCCGAGCGUUAACGUGCAGGCCGAGGUGCAGGGAGUGUCAGGGCUGCCCGAGACCACCGUGGAGGCAGCAGCUGCCGAGUGGACAAGUGCCAAGGGAGGGGCGGCCGGGCCUCGCUCCGGGCAGCACGGCGACCACGUCCAGCAUCGGACUGGCCCAAGGAGCGGCGUUGUGGCGGCCGUCUCACUCAGUUUGUAAAAUGAAUGUUCAAGCUCCAAUCUGUCAUGGAAGUGCGGCGUCCAGACACUCCCAGGUCCACAGCCCGCGGGACGGCCCUGUGCUGCCUCAUUCCCAAGUGUUCGCUCCACGCGGCACCGAGGCAUGAGCGUGAAAGGAGGUGAAAACAACCCUCCUACAAGCGUUCCAGUCCUCUCCGCUAAGAGGCUUCGUCCGAACGUGCUGGGCGGACAGGACUUCGACGAGAGAGAGAGAGCUGAUGAUGGUGAUGAUGGUGAUGGUGAUGGUGAUGAACCUAUACGUGUGAGGUGUGUCCGUGUACUCGUCCGCCAGCCAGCCAGUCCUAAGCCAGCCAGACAGUCACCCAGCCAACCAGCGAGCCAGAGGGACAGACAGACAAACAGACUCACCUCCCUCAGACUGCCAACCAACCAGACAGACAGACAGACAGACAGACAGACAAACAGACCCACCUCCCUCAGACUGCCAACCAACCAGACAGACAGACAGACAGACAGACAGACAGACAGACAGGCAGGCAGACAAACAGACCCACCUCCCUCAGACUGCCAACCAACCAGACAGACAGACAGACAGACAGACAGGCAGGCAGACAAACAGACUCACCUCCCUCAGACUGCCAAUCAACCAGACAGACAGACAGACAGACAGACCGACAGACAGACAAACAGACUCACCUCCUUCUCCUUCAGACAGCAAACUAACCAGACGGACAGACAGACAGACAGACCUCACCAGCCACCCUUCCGAAGAGUUACCUGACCCCUGGAACACCUGAGCCAUGGAAGAGCCUGUAAUUCCCUCCUCAGGGAGACAAAAAGCUGAUGACGUCACUCCCAGCCUUGUGACAUCACGUUCACGCUCCGCCGCGCUGUGUAGGACACAAUACUCGAUCCAUUCUUCGUGGCUCAGUUGGCGUUGGACAAGGCAGCUGGUAGGUUCUUGAGGCCUCACUGUCGGCGUCUGGUAUGUCCCCGUUCAGCUGGCCCUCGACCCCCGCUGGUUCAAGGAGGACGUGUAUCACCCAACCUUGAGGACGACAGUCUUUCCCCCUCCUCGAGUUGCAGCCAUCGGGAGUUCGAGUGUUUGUGACGACUUCGUGAGGGGCUUUUGAAGUGGCCCUUGUCCUUCUGCGCCUCCUCCUCUAACGCCUCUUCUUCCUCCUCCUUACCCUCCUCCGCCUCCUUCGCGUCUUCCUUGUCUUAAUAAUCAGUUUCUCCUCAUUAUCGUUCUCCUAAUCCUCCUCCUCCUCCUCCUUCUUCUCCUUCUCUUCCUGCUCCUCUUUCUCCUCAUCUUCCUCCUCCUCCUCCUUCUCUUCCCCCUCUUCCCAUCCCUUCUCUCCCUCUCUCGCCUCCUACUCUGCCAUUGCCUCUUCAUCCACGUCCUCCGCCUCCUGGAGAUGGUUGCUGCGGACUCGGAAGACGCCUCACCUGUUGACAAAUCCAGAACCACCGGGAAAUAAGAACUCAGACUUCCUAAGGGCCUACCACCACCACCACCACCACUACCACCACCACCACCACCACCACACUAUCUUUUGCACUCCUGUUCCCAUUCACUAUCACUCUCUCCUCUCCCUCCUCCUUUUUCCUCCCCUACUUCUUCCUCCUCCUCCUCCUCCCACAUAUAAACACAUCUCGCUGUCACCCUCGCCAUCCCCCCCUCACGCCCCCCUUCACCCCUCACCCUCACCCCCCCCACUAACCACCCAUCGAAGUACCUCCUCCCCCACCCCCACCCCUCAUCAGUACCAAUAUAGCCACUUUCUUGCAGCCCAUUGAGGAAAUUCCGCUCUUCCCCCAAAAAGCUUACCCCUACCACCACGAUAGUCCCCCUCCGCCCCCCCUGCCUCUCCCCCUCCCUCCUGACCCGUGCCAUGCAGUCCCUGGUUCGCUACGUGACGCUGUGUGUGUGUUGGGGGUGCGUGGGGGAGAUGACGGGGACGUAUGUUUCUCAUAUGGCCAUCCCCGCCCACGGCCAGCCCCUCCAUGGCCCUGAGAGACCCAUCCUACACGUCCUGCAACAAAAAAACCCUCUUCCUAUCCCCUCCCAAGGACAGCCCCUCCAUGCCCCAAAAGAACCACCCUUACAAGUUUUAGAGCACCCCGAGGAGUCCUUUUCUGAAGAUUCCUACCCUGAGGAAUCCUACCGUGAGGAUUCCCUGCGCGAGGAGUCCUUACCCGAGGAGUCCUAUCAAGAAAUGUCCUUCCCUGAGUUGUCCUUCCCCGUGGAUCCUUUCCCUCAGGAGUCCUUCCGUGAGAUAACCUUCCCGGAGAUAACCUUCCCCGAGGAGUCCCUGGCCGAGGAGCCGUUCUUUGAGGAGCUGCUCCCCGUCCCAGCGCAGGGCAAGCCGCUCCACGACACCGACGACGCCGCCCUCCUGGAGCCCAUCGAGCUGGCCGUCCCCAUUAUGCCCAGCCCAAGUCGUCACAAGAGCAAGGCCAUGGUGACGCUUGAGGAUGCGGAUCGGCUCAACGGAUCCGAGCAAGCCAUCCACAAGAACCUGGAGGGAAGGACCAUCCGAAUCGCCCUCGCCAGCUACCCGCCCUUCCUGGAGAUCACGCAGUCGGGGGAUCAGGGCGGCGUGCAGGGGCGGGGCAUGAGCUGGGACGUCAUGAUGGCACUCGCUACCUACUUCAACUUUACCGCCGAGCCCGUUGUGGCCCGCGACAACCUGGUGGGCGUCAAGGAAGGCAACGGGUGGAAGGGCGCCCUCGAACUCAUAGACAACAAGGAGGCCGAGCUCACCCUCAUGCCCGUGACGGUGACGGAACUGCGGAAGGAGGUGGUGGAGUUCUCGCACCUGCUCGGCACCACGUCCUUCGGGAUGCUGGUGCGGCGGCCGGAGUACACGCCGAAGCCCGACGCGCUACUUAAACCCUUCAACAACGAGGUGUGGUUCUGGAUCGUGGGCUCCAUGGCCGUCAUGGGUCCGCUCAUCUACUUCAUCAUCGUGUUCCGCGUGAGGCUGUGCCGCGGCGACCCGAGGCUCACCCGCAUCAUCCCCUUCGACCAGUGCAUCUGGUUCGUGUACGGCGCCAUGAUGAAGCAGGGCAGCAUGCUCCAGCCCAUCUCAGACUCGUCCCGCAUCCUGUUCGCGACGUGGUGGCUCUUCAUCAUGAUCGUCACCUCCUUCUACACCGCCAACCUCACCGCCUUCCUCACCUUCAACGGCCUGGAGCUGCCCAUCACGGACGUCGACGAUCUUAAGAAGUACCCGGAGAUCACGUGGCUGGCCUCCCAUGACGGCGCUGUGGUGGACGUGAUCAAGACUCACCCUGGGCUUCAGAUCCUGCGGGACCUUCAGACUCAAGGGCGAGGGAGGCACAUUAAGUCGAGGGAGGAGGCGCUCUCGCUGGUGCUGACUGGAGAUUAUGUGUACAUCGAUGACAUGCAGGUUCUGGACUUCCUCAUUCAGCAGGACUUCAAGAGACUGCAGCAGCGCGAGGACUUGAACCAGACAUGCAGCUACUACACGUCGGGGCUCGAACGUGGGACCGAGCUCACCUACUGGUACGGCUUCGGCUUCAAGAACGGGAGCGAGUACACCGAUCUCUUCAACGGCUUUUUCCGUCGCCUCUCCACCUUCGGGAUUCUGAACUUCCUCCGGAGCAGCGCCACGGCCAGCAGCCCCGUGUGCACGCUCCCCAAGGGCUUCAAAGACCGCGCCCUCGAAAACAAGGACCUCUACACCACCUACGUCCUCUUCGGCAUCGGUAUCGCCGCCUCCCUGCUCGCCAUGGUUACCGAAUUCUUCUUCAGACGCGCCAUGAGGCAGACGCACCACCUCGCCGUUGCUACCAAGGCGAACUUCCUCUCCAACCGCUUCAGCAGCCCGCCCAUCAAGGUCAUGCCCUCCCUGACCGGCCCCGCGCACAGCUGGGACAACCUUCCCCCGCUGCCGGACCAGAGACUAAGGACGCCCUUCGAAGUCAAAUACCCGCAGUACGCCGGCUUCGGGACCGCCAGGCCGCAGUACACCCCGCAGAUCAUCGGGACGCCCCAGGUGCCCGUCGAGCGCCCGGCUAAUCAACGAAUCAUCAAUGGGAAGAUCAAUGACGUCGACGUGCAGUGGGAUCAGAAGGACGGGAAACUACUCCUGCGGGAUGUGAAGCAGCUGGCGGGUAACGUGGCAUAUGUCGACGGUGUGCCCUAUGCCUUCCUGCACUACCGGGACAAGGACGGACCCAAGCUGCAGAAGUUGAUCCUGAGUGACCUGAUCUAGGAGCCGCCCGCAAGUUCCUCGACAGCCGCGGAGUGUUGGGGUCGCAGCGUGGCCGGCGCGAGCUGUACGAGCCGAGAGCAACGAUGUACAAACUAACUAACUUUUAAGGCAGUGAACGAGGGAGUGGAAUUUGCUGAAAAGAUAGUCGUUGGAAGUACUGAUAGAUGUAAAGAAACAAAAAUAUAUCCAUUGUUGUUUUAAGCACGUAGUUUUUAUGUGACGUUCAGUUCUGGCAGUUGCGCUUGACGGCAGUGAAGGCAGUGAACGAGGGAGUAGAAUUUGCUGAAAAGAUAGCCGUUGGAAGUACUGAUAGAUGUAUAGAAACAAAAAUAUAUCCAUUGUUGUUUUAAGCACGUAGUUUUUGUGACAUUCAGUUCUGGGACAUUAUUGGCAGUUGCGCUAGACGAUAUAAUUUCCAGAGGUGUUAAUAUUUGCCUUGUCGUUGAUGUCGGUGGUAUUGUGAUGCACGGACAUGUUUCCUCUUUGUUGAGUCGUCCACUUCGUUAUUCCUCUUUCUCAGCCUGGUAAACAAGUGGAAACGCCUUUGUAAUGGUGCAAAGCUGGGGAACACUUGUGAAUUCUGUUGGAAUCGUUGUGAGAUAAGUGGUGUGGUGAUGGCCUGGUGUGGUGGUGGUGGUGGUGGUUUGCCGGUGUGUGGUGGUGAUAGUGGUGUGGCGGGGCGGUGAUAGUGGUGUGGCGGGCUGGUGUGUGGUGGUGGUGGGCCGGUGUGUGGUGAUAGUGGUGUGGUGGGCGGGUGUGUGGCGGGGCGGUGUGUGGCGGUGUCGUGGACUUGCUGUCAUUGUGUUGCGUAUUACGUGGUGAUGGGGUGUAAAAUGACCCUCUCCGGUAGUCAUUGCACCCUCGGUUGUGUUUUGGUAAUCAUAACUUAGUGCUGGAUUCUGAAGUGUCGCCGCCGCUCGUCCCGCUACCACCGCCGCCGCCGCCGCCCCGAAGCGCGUGUCGCCGAGGCUCCGAGACGGGUGAACCUCAGCAGAGUUAAAGAGUUAUCAAUGGAGAUUUUAAUUUUCUUAUCAAUUUCCCUGUGAACUCACAUAUAAUGGCGAACUUGCUCAACGAUAUUACUAAGUUGUAGUCUUAAAUACUAGGUACGGUGAGGAUAAUAACAAUAAUAACUAAUAACCUAAUAAUAAUAACAAUAGUACGUAAUAAUGAUGAUAAUGGCAGUAGUGGUAGCAUGUGUAACUGGUCCCACCACUAGAUGCUAGAGGCACACACAGCACGUCGUGUAGUACAAAAGGCCAAACCACCGACGCGCCUCACAGACACGUAAUUAAUUAUCUAAGACCGGUGGGCAGCAGCGGUCACGUGGCUGGUCACGUGACCGCCUUGCCCCGCCCCCGCCCCUGGCCAGCAGUACUCGCCGGUCGGCCGCGUAGGGCGGGGGUGCAGGACCCUUUGUCUGUGUCUGUCAGUGUUUCGGAAUCAUUAUUGUGGCGCCGCAAGACCAUCGCCGGCGGCCGAGCACCGCCGCGGCGUGCCCCAGGGCGGGCGGUCGAGGCGCGCGGAGCCGCUCAACAAGCCAGAUUCGUGAAUGGAAAGGAGUGCAUGGGAGGACUGGUGAAGAGGAAGAGGAGGAUGCUGUGAUGAUGGGGGUGGUGAGGGAGGAAAUGGCGGCUUCUAAGGGGUGAAGAAGGAGUCACGUGACUUUCCUGCGAUGGCGAAAGCGCUGUGGAGUCGUGGCGGUGAGGGCGGCAGUGCUGUUAGGCCGCUGCUGUCACCUGGUGCUGUGUGCUGAGUGCUGUGAAGGCGGUGACGGCGUGGCUGACGGUGCAGGUGACGCGGUGACUGGCUCUCCUUCUCCCCUCCCCUCUCCUCCAUUCAUCGGUGCGCGCCUGUAAGGAAAAACGAGACGAAGUAAAAACCAAGAUAUUAAUUAUGGCCGCCCAGCGAAGCGCCAGACUGACCAAGCACUCCAGCGGGCGGGUAGGAGGCGGGGCGGCGCGCGGAGGCUGACGAGGCGUAAGCGUUCAAGUCUGUCCGCGCGAAGAGUCGAACCCGGUACAGCCAAGAUAAGGUACAAGAAGGGCAUCAACAACAACAACAACAACAACAACAACAACAACAACAACAACAGGACGCCACCGGAGCGAAAAAUAAUAUCUGUGCUGAUCGAGCGGAUCAACUUUGUGGCAGCAUCAGCGCCAGAAUAGACAGCAACAACAGCAGCAGCAACAGGAGACGAGAGAAGUGCCCGAGGAGGAAGACUUACCCCCCUUCCUCUGCCUCCUCCUCCUCCUCCUCCUUCUGCAGCGGGUCUCAAGUCAACACAGGGACACCUACGGGCCAUCCUUUGGUAAGAGCGCUUGGGACCUCUUUGGCGCAACUCUGAUACUGACAUGGCCGCGAGACGAAAGACACGGCGGAGUUCAGUCUUCUACGGUGCUAUGUCUUCGGCGAUUCCUGGUAGGCGAAGUCCUAAGAGUUUCUGCGGGCGAAGGAGGUCUGGGCGAGGCUAGCGAAGCGGCGUAUGCGAUUAUCCGGGAGGGUCGCCGUUGACUACAAAGGCACGUCGGUAAACAGUGAGGUUUCUCGGAGGAUUGGCGUCGUCUGGGGAUAAAGCAGCCAAGUGUUUUGUCAUUUGCUCAGAGUCAAUAUUGGGUCAGUUUCAAAGGGAAUAAUAGUCGUCUGUCGUGGGUGUUUAGCCGAGACAAUGCAGCCAACCCUCCCGACGCGGCCUGUCAUUCAUCCGGAUUUUUAUUGACACAGUGACACGGCCAUAUGUGCAAUUUGCGAUUCUUUUUUCUCCCGCUCCCUUUCUUUCCCUCGUUUUUUGUCUUGCGAUAGCCUACAGCGAGGUUUCUUAGCGGCGGAGGGAGGGAGAGAGAAUAGGGAGAGUGAUGCGAGGAGGAGGAGCAGGAGGAGGAAGAAGAAAACAAAGACGAAGAUGAUGAGGAGGAGACUGUAUCGUAUGGAGAAGGAGGAGGAGGAGGAGAAUGUAGAGAAUGGGGAAGGAAGAGGAGGAGGAAGAUGAAAACAACGAAAAAGAUGAUGAGGAGGAGGAUGUAGAUAAUGGAAAAGGAGGAGAAGGAGCAGGAGGAAGAUGAAAACAAAGAAAAAGAUGAGGAGGAGGAGGAGAAUGUAGAGAAAAGGGAAGGAGAAGGAGAAUGAAGAGGAAGGAAACAAUGAAAAAGAUGAAGAGGAGGAGGAGAAUGUAGAGAAUAGGGAAGGAAAAGGAGAAUGAAGAGG